rnacentral:rRNA from 1 species
GGAGCUUGCUCUGUGGGAUCAGUGGCGAACGGGUGAGUAACACGUGAGCAACCUGCCCCUGACUCUGGGAUAAGCGCUGGAAACGGCGUCUAAUACUGGAUAUGUGACGUGACCGCAUGGUCUGCGUCUGGAAAGAAUUUCGGUUGGGGAUGGGCUCGCGGCCUAUCAGCUUGUUGGUGAGGUAAUGGCUCACCAAGGCGUCGACGGGUAGCCGGCCUGAGAGGGUGACCGGCCACACUGGGACUGAGACACGGCCCAGACUCCUACGGGAGGCAGCAGUGGGGAAUAUUGCACAAUGGGCGCAAGCCUGAUGCAGCAACGCCGCGUGAGGGACGACGGCCUUCGGGUUGUAAACCUCUUUUAGCAGGGAAGAAGCGAAAGUGACGGUACCUGCAGAAAAAGCGCCGGCUAACUACGUGCCAGCAGCCGCGGUAAUACGUAGGGCGCAAGCGUUAUCCGGAAUUAUUGGGCGUAAAGAGCUCGUAGGCGGUUUGUCGCGUCUGCUGUGAAAUCCGGAGGCUCAACCUCCGGCCUGCAGUGGGUACGGGCAGACUAGAGUGCGGU